UAGGGAAUCUUCGGCAAUGGACGAAAGUUGACCGAGCAACGCCANGUGAGUGAAGAAGGUUUUCGGAUCGUAAAACUCUGUUGUUAGAGAAGAACAAGGAUGAGAGUAACUGUUCAUCCCUUGACGGUAUCUAACCAGAAAGCCACGGCUAACUACGUGCCAGCAGCCGCGGUAAUACGUAGGUGGCAAGCGUUGUCCGGAUUUAUUGGGCGUAAAGCGAGCGCAGGCGGUUUCUUAAGUCUGAUGUGAAAGCCCCCGGUUCAACCGGGGAGGGUCAUUGGAAACUGGGAGACUUGAGUGCAGAAGAGGAGAGUGGAAUUCCAUGUGUAGCGGUGAAAUGCGUAGAUAUAUGGAGGAACACCAGUGGCGAAGGCGGCUCUCUGGUCUGUAACUGACGCUGAGGCUCGAAAGCGUGGGGAGCAAACAGGAUUAGAUACCCUGGUAGUCCACGCCGUAAACGAUGAGUGCUAAGUGUUGGAGGGUUUCCGCCCUUCAGUGCUGCAGCUAACGCAUUAAGCACUCCGCCUGGGGAGUACGACCGCAAGNU
rnacentral:rRNA from 1 species